rnacentral:snRNA from 1 species
AUCAUUUUAUGAUAAUUAAUUAUUAAGUAGUUAUAAAGAUUAGCAUGGCCCCUGCGCAAGGAUGACACAUAAAUUUGUGACGCAUUCCAUAUUAAA